CACGGGGGGAGCAAGCGUUGUUCGGAAUCACUGGGCGUAAAGGGCGUGUAGGCGGUCAGGUUAGUGGGACGUGAAAUGCCCCGGCUUACCCGGGGACCUGCGUCCCAAACUGCCUGGCUUGAGUAUGGGAGAGGAUGAGGGAAUUCCUGGUGUAGCGGUGAAAUGCGUAGAUAUCAGGAGGAACACCGGUGGCGAAGGCGCUCAUCUGGCCCAAUACUGACGCUGAGGCGCGAAAGCUAGGGGAGCAAACGGG
rnacentral:rRNA from 1 species